rnacentral:rRNA from 1 species
CAUAGAGGGUGAGAAUCCCGUAUUUGACCAUUAUUUUCAGCUGUGUGAUACACUUUCAAAGAGUCGGAUUGUUUGGGAAUGCAGUCCAAAAUGGGUGGUAAAUUUCAUCUAAAGCUAAAUAUUAGCGAGAGACCGAUAGCGAACAAGUACCGUGAGGGAAAGAUGAAAAGAACUUUGAAAAGAGAGUUAAACAGUACGUGAAAUUGUCAAAAGGGAAGCGUUUGACACCAGUGUUGUUUUCUCGAAAAUCAAUUAAAAAAAGUUGGAUUUUGUGUUUGUAUGACCUUAACAGCUUCUUUCACUUUUUUCCUGCUUUUUUUAAUGCACUUUUCGUUUAACAAGUCAACAUCAGUUUCUUUUGUUGUAAAAAGGUCAUUGGAAGGUGGCUUUCUUUUCGGAGAAAGUGUUUAUAGCCUUUGACUCCUGCAAUCGGAGAGACUGAGGUCUGCAGCGUAGAUCCUUCGGGGUUAGAUACAUUUGUGCUAAGUUAUAGCUUUUCAUAGACAACUUGUUGACUAUGUUUAGUCAUGUAGCUUACUCGCUUAUGCUAUUUUACCUACGCUUAGGAUGUUGAA